rnacentral:tRNA from 1 species
UAACUUAGUGCUAGAGUGCUUGCCUAGCAAGCAUGAAGCCCUGGGUUCCAUCCCCAG